CAGAAGUCAAUGGCAUGGAUCUUGUUAACUCUCUAAAAUCCAGAGAGUAGGAAAGCCAACACCUGGCUCAUUUCCAAGUUAAGAGAAACCUUCUUCAUGAGCAAAAGAUGAAAAUGAUGAUAGAACUGGGACAUGCCUACACUGGGCAGGAAGGUGUGGUGCAGAAAUCCCCAGAUGAACGCUGAACGAUCUAGCUCCAGACCUUGAACCGAAACAGCCAUGCUUUCAUGGAGCUACUGACAGCAAGCUUCAAUGAGCUCGGGACCAGCCCUGCGAAAAUGUUGCUGGAUCACCAGCUUCCCAGUGGCCACCAUGCAGUGCUGUGAUAGCUGGAUGAUGCUGGGAUUCAAGGAUUCAAGUCAACCUGAGCCUAACCUGCAGCACAGAUCAUAAGAAACUGAUGAAGACAAACUGUGAGAAGAAGCUGCCCUAGUGGCAGCUGACUCUGGUUGGACAUCAAAAAUUGGCUGCCUUGUGUGCUUCCUUAAUUUUUUCCCCUCAUGUUUGAUAUUUUCAGCCUAUGUGACAAAGAAGAACAAGGUAUGGCUAAAUUACAUUAAUGUCCACUACACAUCCUUGGUAUUCCACAGCAAGAGGCACAGAAAAGCUGGUUGGACCUCAUUCUUCUACUCAAAUGUCAAAAAUGUUGUUAAAUGGAAGGUUAGUUAAUCAUUUCAGAUUCCAUUUAUCUUAUCACAUGCAUUUACAUAAAGGUAAUUAUUUAUAUGGUACACUAAUUUGUUUGUAUUCCCUAUGGGAAUAAUCCUGGUUUACAGGAAGGAAACCAGAAGCCACCUAAAACAUGCAAAAAUACUCCAGUGCCACCUUGUGCCACAGCCACCACCAGGAUGAGAAGAUGGAUGUGAACCAAGUGGUUCAUGUCUUCUUGGAGGAGUUGGAUUGGCAAGGGACUGGAGAGGGGAAAAAGAAAGAGAAUGAUGGGGAGAGAGGGUGCAUUCACAAUCAUCUUCAAGACGUAUUCCCUAAAAAGUGGAGCUCAUCUCUUUGUAAGUUCUUUGCUGCAGAGACCACAACAGAGCUGUUUUUCCUGUUUUUGAUGGAAGGCCUAAUUCUCCUAAAUUACAUUACAAACUGACCUGUCCAGAUGGAGAAGAAACAAUGGAGCUUUCUUUUUCCAGGCAAUUAGUAGGUAAUUAAAAAUAAUCUGAAAAAAGCACCACACAUGGACUUCCUUCAGCCUGUGCUGCAGAAGUAUCCUGGUCUCCACUGGGCAGGCAGGACAGUGCUUUCCCUCACUUUCAUCCCCAGCAGACUCCAACUGCAGAGACCCUCCCUUCACAAAUAAGUUUACAAGGAAGGAACCUGUGAAGUGAGGCUGCAUUUCAGGGAACUUAAACCUAUGUAAGAAAAUAUCUUUGAAAAAUUAUCAAUAACAAUUCAUAGGAUUCCUGGGAAGCCAUUGAGGCAUGAAAGUGCUGUGAAUAGUAUUAAAACAAUCCCUCUAAAUAAGGAAAACAAUGUGGGGUCUUUUUCCCCCCAUCUUUCUGGUUAACUGAAAUAUAUAAUCAUAAUUUUAUGAGUUCAACAGUUUCCAGUUUCAGUGGUAGAUUCACCAUGCACUAAAGACUGAAUAUAGCCGACUACCUUCUCUAUUUAUCACAGAAUAUAUUGAUAUUCAAUACCAAUAUCAUGAAGAAGCUGGAUGUCCUUUAGCAAUUUCCAUUAAAAUGAAUCUCUGUCAUGGGAAAAAUAGAAAAAUCUCUGAUACUGGAUAUUUAUGUAUCUUAAUAUCCCUUUCUUACACCUACAUCUACAUGUACUCAUUUACACCUUUAUGCU